rnacentral:pre_miRNA from 1 species
GAAGUUCUGUUAUACACUCUGACUGUGGCUACGUGGAGGUCAGUGCAUCACAGAACUUUGU